GCUCAGAACGAACGCUGGCGGCGUGCUUAACACAUGCAAGUCGAACGAACCUUCGGGUUAGUGGCGGACGGGUGAGUAACGCGUGAGAAUCUGCCCUCAGGAGGGGGAUAACGGUUGGAAACGACCGCUAAUACCCCAUAUGCCGAGAGGUGAAAAGAAAUUCGCCUGAGGAUGAGCUCGCGUCUGAUUAGCUAGUUUUUGUCGUAAUGGCGCGGGCAAAGCUUCGAUCAGUAGCUGGUCUGAGAGGAUGAUCAGCCACUCCUCCCCUGAGACACGGACCAGACUCCUACUGGAG
rnacentral:rRNA from 1 species